rnacentral:rRNA from 1 species
AUUGAACGCUGGCGGCAUGCUUUACACAUGCAAGUCGAGCGGCAGCGCGGGGGCAACCCUGGCGGCGAGCGGCGAACGGGUGAGUAAUGCAUCGGAACGUAUCCUCGAGUGGGGGAUAACCCAGCGAAAGUUGGGCUAAUACCGCAUGAGCUCUGAGGAGGAAAGCGGGGGACCUGCGAGGGCCUCGCGCUGGAGGAGCGGCCGAUGUCCGAUUAGCUAGUUGGUGGGGUAAAGGCUUACCAAGGCGACGAUCGGUAGCUGGUCUGAGAGGAUGAUCAGCCACACUGGGACUGAGACACGGCCCAGACUCCUACGGGAGGCAGCAGUGGGGAAUUUUGGACAAUGGGGGCAACCCUGAUCCAGCCAUGCCGCGUGAGUGAAGAAGGCCUUCGGGUUGUAAAGCUCUUUCGGACGGAACGAAAUGGGCGGGACUAAUACUCCUGUCUGAUGACGGUACCGUAAGAAGAAGCACCGGCUAACUACAUG